rnacentral:rRNA from 1 species
GGUUGGUACAACGGGAUGCUACCUCGCGAGAGGACGCCAAUCUCUUAAAACCAAUCUCAGUUCGGAUUGUAGGCUGCAACUCGCCUACAUGAAGUCGGAAUCGCUAGUAAUCGCGGAUCAGCAUGCCGCGGUGAAUACGUUCCCGGGCCUUGUACACACCGCCCGUCACACCACGGGAGUUUGCAACACCCGAAGUCGGUGAGGUAACCGCAAGGAGCCAGCCGCCGAAGGUGGGGUAGAUGACUGGGGUGAAGUCGUAACAAGGUAUCCGUACCGGAAGGUGCGGAUGGAUCACCUCCUUUCUAUGGAGA